rnacentral:rRNA from 1 species
CGAGUUCAAUAUGUCAAAGAUGACUCUCGGCAACGGAUAUCUCGGCUCCCGCAUCGAUGAAGAACGUAGCAAAAUGCGAUACGUGGUGUGAAUUGCAGAAUUCCGCGAGCCAUCGAGUCUUUGAACGCAAGUUGCGCCCGAUGUCGUUCGCGGCUGA